rnacentral:rRNA from 1 species
GACGAACGCUGGCGGCGUGCUUAACACAUGCAAGUCGAACGAUGAAGCUGUGCUUGCACAGUGGAUUAGUGGCGAACGGGUGAGUAACACGUGAGUAACCUGCCCUUCACUUUGGGAUAACUCCGAGAAAUCGGGGCUAAUACCGGAUAUGACUACUGGCCGCAUGGUUGGUGGUGGAAAGUUUUUCGGUGAGGGAUGGGCUCGCGGCCUAUCAGUUUGUUGGUGAGGUAGUGGCCCACCAAGGCGAUGACGGGUAGCCGGCCUGAGAGGGCGACCGGCCACACUGGGACUGAGACACGGCCCAG